rnacentral:rRNA from 1 species
UACGGAGGGUGCAAGCGUUAAUCGGAAUUACUGGGCGUAAAGCGUGCGCAGGCGGUUUGUUAAGUCCGUUGUGAAAGCCCCGAGCUCAACUUGGGAAUUGCAGAGGAUACUGGCAGGCUGGAGUACGGUAGAGGAAGGUGGAAUUCCCGGUGUAGCAGUGAAAUGCGUAGAGAUCGGGAGGAACACCAGUGGCGAAGGCGGCCUUCUGGACCAGUACUGACGCUCAUGCACGAAAGCGUGGGGAGCAAACAGG